rnacentral:rRNA from 1 species
ACAGCAGUCGCCGCGGGAAUACGAGGGGGGCAAGCGUUGUUCGGAAUUAUUGGGCGUAAAGGGUGCGUAGGCGGUUUGAUAAGUCUUAUGUGAAAGCCCCCGGCUCAACCGGGGAGGGUCAUUGGAAACUGGGAAACUUGAGUGCAGAAGAGGAGAGUGGAAUUCCACGUGUAGCGGUGAAAUGCGUAGAGAUGUGGAGGAACACCAGUGGCGAAGGCGACUCUCUGGUCUGUAACUGACGCUGAGGAGCGAAAGCGUGGGGAGCGAACAGGAUUAGAUACCCCUGUAGUCCCUGUCUCUUAUAC